UUGGUUAAGCUAAUAAGAGCACACGGAGGAUGCCUAGGCGCCAGGAGCCGACGAAGGACGUGGCGAACAACGAAACUGCCUCGGGGAGCUGUAAGCAAGCUUUGAUCCGGGGGUGUCCGAAUGGGGAAACCCAGCUGUGGUAAUUCGCAGUUACUCGUAUCUGAAUACAUAGGAUACGCAGAGGCAGACCAGGGGAACUGAAACAUCUAAGUACCCUGAGGAAGAGAAAACAAUAGUGAUUCCGUCAGUAGCGGCGAGCGAACGCGGAACAGCCUAAACCAAGGGGCUUGCCCCUUGGGGUUGUGGGACGUCUCACAUGGAGUUACAAAGGAAUAUGGUAGGCGAAGAGGUCUGGAAAGGCCCGCGAUAGAGGUAAAAGCCCUGUAGCCUAAACUGUGUUCUCUCCGAGACGGAUCCCGAGUAGUGCGGGGCACGUGAAACCCCGUAUGAAUCCAGCAGGACCAUCUGCUAAGGCUAAAUACUACCUGGCGACCGAUAGUGAAACAGUACCGUGAGGGAAAGGUGAAAAGCACCCCGGAAGGGGAGUGAAAUAGAACCUGAAACCGUGUGCUUACAAAAAGUCAGAGCCCGAUCUAUGGGUGAUGGCGUGCCUUUUGUAGAAUGAACCGGCGAGUUACGUUUAACAUGCAAGGUUAAGGUGAGAAGCCGGAGCCGCAGCGAAAGCGAGUCUGAAUAGGGCGAUUUAGUAUGUGGACGUAGACCCGAAACCGUGUGAUCUACCCCUGUCCAGGGUGAAGGUGCGGUAACACGCACUGGAGGCCCGAACCCACGCAUGUUGAAAAAUGCGGGGAUGAGGUGGGGGUAGCGGAGAAAUUCCAAUCGAACUCGGAGAUAGCUGGUUCUCCCCGAAAUAGCUUUAGGGCUAGCCUCGGUGAAUGGAGUGGUGGAGGUAGAGCACUGAUUGGGUGCGGGGCCCGCAAGGGUUACCAAGCUCAGUCAAACUCCGAAUGCCAUUAACUUCUUGCCGGGAGUCAGACAGUGAGUGCUAAGAUCCAUUGUCAAAAGGGAAACAGCCCAGACCAUCAGCUAAGGUCCCCAAGUGUGUGUUAAGUGGGAAAGGAUGUGGAGUUGCACAGACAACCAGGAUGUUGGCUUAGAAGCAGCCACCAUUGAAAGAGUGCGUAAUAGCUCACUGGUCGAGUGACUCUGCGCCGAAAAUGUAACGGGGCUAAACACACCACCGAAGCUAUGGCUAGAUGCUUUGCAUCUGGGGUAGGGGAGCGUUGUAUGCAGGUUGAAGGUGUACCGUAAGGAGCGCUGGACAGCAUACAAGUGAGAAUGCCGGUAUGAGUAACGAAAAGAUCAGUGAGAAUCUGAUCCGCCGAAAGCCCAAGGUUUCCUGAGGAAGGCUCGUCCGCUCAGGGUAAGUCGGGACCUAAGGCGAGGCCGAAAGGCGUAGUCGAAGGACAACAGUUUGAAAUUACUGUACCACCGUAAUCCGCUAUGAGCGAUGGGGUGACGCAGGAGGGUAGUGACGCGGACUGAUGGAUGUGUCCGUCUAAGCAGUGAGGCUGAUGUGUAGGCAAAUCCGCACAUCACUAAGGCUGGGCUGUGAUGGGGAGCGAAAAUUGUAGUAGCGAAGGUCAUGAUCUCACACUGCCAAGAAAAGCCUCUAGCCAGGAGAAGGUGCCCGUACCGCAAACCGACACAGGUAGGCGAGAAGAGAAUUCUAAGGCGCGCGGAAGAACUCUCGUUAAGGAACUCGGCAAAAUGACCUCGUAACUUCGGGAGAAGAGGUGCCUCGGUAGGGUGAAUAGCCCGAGGGGGCCGCAGUGAAAAGGCCCAAGCGACUGUUUAGCAAAAACACAGGUCUGUGCGAAGCCGCAAGGCGAAGUAUACGGGCUGACGCCUGCCCGGUGCUGGAAGGUUAAGGGGAGUGGUUAGGGGUUAAACCCGAAGCUGUGAACCGAAGCCCCAGUAAACGGCGGCCGUAACUAUAACGGUCCUAAGGUAGCGAAAUUCCUUGUCAGGUAAAUUCUGACCCGCACGAAUGGCGUAACGACUUGGGCGCUGUCUCAACGAGAGAUCCGGUGAAAUUUUAAUACCUGUGAAGAUGCAGGUUACCCGCGACAAGACGGAAAGACCCCAUGGAGCUUUACUGCAGCUUGAUAUUGAAUUUGGGUACGAUCUGUACAGGAUAGGUGGGAGCCGGUGAGGCAGGAGCGCAAGCUUCUGCGGAGGCGCCGUUGGGAUACCACCCUGAUCGUAUCUAGGUUCUAACCUGGUGCCCUAAUCGGGUACGGGGACCGUGUCAGGCGGGCAGUUUGACUGGGGCGGUCGCCUCCUAAAGAGUAACGGAGGCGUUCAAAGGUUCCCUCAGAAUGGUUGGAAAUCAUUCGCAGAGUGCAAAGGCAUAAGGGAGCUUGACUGCGAGACCUACAAGUCGAGCAGGGACGAAAGUCGGACUUAGUGAUCCGGUGGUACCGCAUGGAAGGGCCAUCGCUCAACGGAUAAAAGCUACCCUGGGGAUAACAGGCUUAUCUCCCCCAAGAGUCCACAUCGACGGGGAGGUUUGGCACCUCGAUGUCGGCUCAUCGCAUCCUGGGGCUGAAGUAGGUCCCAAGGGUUGGGCUGUUCGCCCAUUAAAGCGGUACGCGAGCUGGGUUCAGAACGUCGUGAGACAGUUCGGUCCCUAUCUGUCGUGGGCGCAGGAAAUUUGAGAGGAGCUGUCCUUAGUACGAGAGGACCGGGAUGGACGUACCGCUGGUGCAUCAGUUGUUCCGCCAGGAGCAUGGCUGAGUAGCUACGUACGGACGGGAUAAGCGCUGAAAGCAUCUAAGCGUGAAGCCCCCCUCAAGAUGAGAUUUCCCAACUAGUAAGACCCCUUGAAGACGACGAGGUAGAUAGGUUGGAGGUGGAAGUGCAGCAAUGCAUGGAGCUGACCAAUACUAAUCGGUCGAGGGCUUAUCCAAAUU
rnacentral:rRNA from 1 species